AUAUAUAUAUAUAUAUAUAUAUAUAUAUACAUACAACAUAAUAUAUAUAAAUACAUACAUAUAAAUAUAUAUAAUAUAAAUAUAUAAAUAUAAAUAUUUAUUAUAUAUAUAUAUAUAUAUAUAAUAUGUGUAUAUAUAUGCAUUAAAAAAAAAAAGGAUUUUAAAUUAAGAUCGUGUACUUAAGUAACAAAUAAGGUGACUACCUGGAAUGGAGGAAAUUAACAACAGUGAAUUUUAGUCUGCCUCCGUGGUAGUUAGGCCUUAUCCACUGUUGCCGUUGAUCACAUGCUGCAACAAAAAUAGAUUUAAAUUUCAAAACCCUGCAGGACACCGCCACUUGUGUGCCUGAGAAGCUGGUGGCAGCUCCCUGGUGCCCUGUACCUGUGUGAGGGGCCGGUGCCUUUGGGCAGGUUGGCACGGGCAGUUUCCAGGCUCACAAAACACCUGCCUGCUUUCUCCAGCCUCUGGGUUUUGCUUUUCUGUCUGGAUGGCUGUAGUUAGGGAGGAUGAGUCACUCAUUUUCUCCUUAUUUCUACUGUUAACCUGUAAUACCUGAGGAAUGAGAACUUCAUUUUGUAGGGGGGAUGAGUGACUCGAGGAGCAAACAGACUGCGUUUCUGAAUGAGUGGGAGACCCCAUUAGCUGCCAGCACACCGAGGCAGCACCAUAUGAAGAAACCCUUUCUGUUCAGCCACAUCCAGACUCCAACUGACCCCAAACCUUGCUUUUUAUUGUCACCACGGCAACCUGGCCAGAAGCCGGGGGGGUGUACACACGCCCCACUCCCUCCCACCCGGGGCCGGAGUUCUGCCCCCCGACCGGCCUCGGGCCACCGUUCAACGGCUGGCGGCGACCCCACAGCUGGCUGUGGGAGCACCGUGGGGCCGGGGGCGCUGCCUGAGGUCAGUAGUCUCAGUUCAUUCACCUGCAAGAAUUUUCCUUGUUGCUUUGACUACAGCUUUCAAGCCCUUCUUUUUAAGUUGAGAAGUGUGGCGCUUCAAAAUGCUAAAGGGAGCUAA
rnacentral:lncRNA from 1 species